UGGGUGAUCUGCCCUGCACUUUGGGAUAAGCCUGGGAAACUGGGUCUAAUACCGGAUAUACCCUGCUGGUCGCAUGGCCUGGUGGGGGAAAGCUUUUGCGGUGUGGGAUGGGCCCGCGGCCUAUCAGCUUGUUGGUGGGGUGAUGGCCUACCAAGGCGACGACGGGUAGCCGGCCUGAGAGGGUGUCCGGCCACACUGGGACUGAGAUACGGCCCAGACUCCUACGGGAGCA
rnacentral:rRNA from 1 species